CGCAGGAGACCAGCAACCAUAUCCAGAAACCAGGCAAGGAAACGGGGCAAGAAAGAAAGAAUCUUUGAAGAAAUACACACUACCAGAAUGCUCAGAGAAGCUCAGCUGGUCCCAGCACCAGGAAGGAAGCUCCCCUGCUGCCAUCCCAAGCUCCUAGGGAAGAGAAGGUGAGCCCUGAGGGUGCCAGAAGCCCCCCGCCCAUGGAAAUGAG
rnacentral:lncRNA from 1 species